GAUGGUAUUUUUUGUGCUAAGAUAGAGUGGCCAUUUCUUUUGGUAUGCCAUGUUCAUAGAAGCUUCAGCAAAAGAGCAAAUAGACUCAUCAGUGUUGUACAUGGAUAGAGCUACUCCACCAGCACCAGUGAAGUUGUACACCUCAAACUCGGUCUUUUCAUCUGUCCCUUCUGGUACAAAUACUAAUUUGAGUUUUCCAGCUCCUUGAAUCACUGUAUCAGUAGCUCGGUAUUGAUCACCAAAAGCAUGUCUGCCAAUGCAUAUCGGUUUUGACCAACUUGGAACAAGUCGCGGGAUAUUUUUGCAGAGGAUUGGUUCCCUGAACACCGUACCAUUCAAAAUGUUCCUAAUUGUCCCAUUUGGGCUCUUCCACAUAUGCUUCAAGUUAAACUCGUUCAUACGAGCCUCAUCUGGAGUAAUGGUUGCACACUUAAUAGCUACAUUAUACUUCAAAGUAGCCUCAGCGCUUUCAAUUGUAACCUUAUCAUCU
rnacentral:misc_RNA from 1 species